ACCUGCAAUGGCAGACUGCCUUCCAGCACUUCUCAAGGAGCUGCCAGCAUGACCAGAAGUACUUCCAGGGCAUUAUAAACCCUGGAUUUAAAGAAUGUGUUUCCAGCAGUGGCUUAAGGGAGCUCCAUAACCAAGAAUUCCCAUACUGGGCUGAAGGAAGUGUUACAAACAGUGCUUCAAGCUGGUUUUUAAACCAGGCACAGCCAGUUUUGCUCUUACCCCACUCCCAACAGCUCACUCAGCCCCCUUGGGGUGAUGCAUUUUGAAGCAGGGUUUGGGACAGGAACAGGUGAGUUGGAUGUGUAGCUGGAACUUGGUUCCCCUAAAUGUCACACACUGGGAGCUGCCCUCUCACCACUUACCCCUGCAGUGCUAUAAAAAUCAAUCAAGUAAUGCAUUAAAUUUAACAACUGCUAUCAGAACAGCCUAUUACAAAUCUGGUAUUUAGCACAUGCUUUGGGUACACAAUGAUUUUUAAGUGGGGAAAGAAAAAACCCAAUUUACCCUCUCCUUUUUUUUUUUCUUUAAAUGUGGAAGGUCAGCCUCAGUUCCAAAGGCAUCUUUCAAAAUGUUUGCCUCCUACUGUGUAUUAGAGUUCUCCCACAUCUGCUCACCUGAUGCCUGUUCCUGCUUUACUUAUCCCAUGCCAGCCACUCCACCUUCAUUUUACCCUGGCAGCCCACUGCACUAAUAUGGGUGAUGACAUCAAUGAUUUGGGACUUCUUUUUCUCCCCCCUCCUUUUUUUUUUUUUUUGGCAGGAAAAUGGAAACAUCUAUUUUUACCCCUUUUUCUAGCAGCUGACUCAGCUUUUGGGCUCAGCAGUGCUUCCUGCUGGACAGAAAUCCCUGUGCCCAGAGCCCAGCUGGAAACGCUAAUCAGCAGCAUCCAUGUAUUUUUACUCAAAUCAACCUUCACAUCUAUACUAAAUUAAGUUUUUCUUUCAUUUGUGUUUAAAUGAAACCAUAAAUCCCCAAAUAGUUUGCCUGGGAGGAACAGUAGCAUGACACAUGACACAAGGCACUGACACAGGUUACAGAAUCUCUACAAGACUUUUUGAAAUGACAACUGAACUAUGAGAUAAAAGAAAACAACUUUCUCAAGACAGACAUGCACAGACUGCUGACCACUUGUUAGUACAAGGAGGUGUUACAACACAACCUGCUUUGAUUUCAGGUGGCAGAUGACACAAGACAUAGAUAUGAAGCAUUUACCAAACAAAUCCCCAAAAGCAGCCAUGCUACACAGCCAUGGUGACCAGGAGCAAUGAUUCAUCUGGAAUCUGAACUGGCUCAAGCAGCUCCAAGGGAAAGAUGUUUCUGGCAGUGCAGCAGAGCAGCAGGAACAGCACAGGCCCCCAGACCAGCCUGGUGGGGGAGGCUUUUGCCUCCUACUCCACUCUUGGGUGUCAAGUUCUCUGCAAAGUCCAUACCCAUCCAAAAUCUGCACACAGAGCAAAGCAAAAGCAAGGGGGAGCAGAAGGGCAGUCCUGCUCCACCCCUUUGAGGCUAUUCCUACCUCCAAAAAAUGGCCUUUCCCAAGUUCUUGGAUGUGCCUCUACAAUUUUAAUUCCAGUUUCCAGUGAGAUACUGGAUUUAAAAUCUUAGCUCAGUAAAAUGUGAUUUAAUUCUGAGAGUUCCUUGGGUACAUUGGAGGGAAGUCACACAGUGCCACAUUUCUGAGCACCAAACCUCAUUAAGGAUUUAAGGAUCCCACUCCCCAGGCUCUAUCCUGGUUUUUUAAUUGGCCUUUAAUGUUAGGUGGUGCCUUGUACUAUUUUUUCUGACUGUGGCAUCUGCACUACCUCAGGGAAUAACAUUUCCUACUAAUGAAAAAAUCACAACUCAAAAUAAAGAGCUCUUCCACUAA